UGCUAUUGAAAAAACAACCUGUUAUUCAAAAUUGUUUUCUGGCUGUAACUUUUGUCCCUCGACGAUCUUCUAGUUAAUUAAGGAACAUUUUAAAAACUGUGGAUACCAACACCUGAUUAUGGAUCAUUGAUUGUAUCAGUCCUCUUUCACUUCAAAAAAAGCAGUAUUUAAAUAUUUACGUGAAAGGACGGUUUUUCCAUUGGGAAGAGAGACAGUGUGUUGUGGCUAAAGAUCGUAUAACGAAUGAGAGGAUAUUGCAAUUAAUUUUGGUGCUACUGAAACAACUGAUGCUUUUGACGUCUUCACCUUGCAAAAUUAUGCAGUUAAUUUUGGACCUGAGAGGGGAGGUUCCCCAAGAAAAACGAGCGUUAGGUUGUCCGAAGAAUUAGAUGGAAUUGCAAUUAACUGUGAUGUUUUUGGACUUGAAAAAGGAAACCAACUGCAAAUCAAUUUGGACGCCACUGAAACAACAAAUUGUCUGCAGUGAUAUCCCUUUUGGAUUUGGUUUGCUCAUCACACUUGUGGACUUUAGAACGCUACUUUCUACAGUUAAUUAAGGUGAGAAUGUAUGACAUUAUUAAUAUUAAUUUUUGGUUAUUAAUAUGUUGC